AAAACAUGACGUUGUUAUAAAAAAUUUUCAUUCGGUUUUAUUAAUGUUGGUUAAUAACAUCUGCGUUGAAACACAUUUCAUUUACUGGUCUUCAGCUUAAGUCAGUAAAUUGUUUCAGUUAUUGUUGUCAGUAAAAGUUUUCUGUCUAUAUUUAUAAUUAUAAAUACAUUUCAAAAUUAUACAACAGAAAAAAUGAAGCAAGGAAUGAUUGUUAAAUUUUUACUUCUGGCUGUCUUGUGCCUAACCUUCGUGUCAUCGGAAGAGGAUGAUAUUAAAAUCACCCCUAAUCAUCUUAAAGCAUUGUUUUUUGAGUUGCCGAUAGAGGUGAAGGAUGGAGAACCUGAGCCUAACUUUGAAGAAAUAGCUAACAAUCUUUCGAAUGAAGAUAAGGUAAUAGUUCGGGAUAUAUUGAAGUCAAUUCAGUAUGAGGAAAUAGAAGAGACUGAAAGCGCUUAAAAAAAUUUACAAGAAUGAAAAAGUAAACCACAUCUUCAUCAGGUCAAUUUAUGAUCACGGCCAAAUAUUUGAAACAUGUAUUUCCUGUCUUGAUCAGCGUUGACUGAAUAAAUUGAUAAAUUAUAAGUUUCA